rnacentral:rRNA from 1 species
CUUAACACAUGCAAGUCGAACGAUGAAGCUGGAGCUUGCUCCGGUGGAUUAGUGGCGAACGGGUGAGUAACACGUGAGAAAUCUGCCCCUGACUCUGGGAUAACUGCUGGAAACUGUAGCUAAUACCGGAUACUUUCCCUGGUGGGCAUCCACUGGGGAAGAAAGAAUUUCGGUCAGGGAGGAUCUCGCGGCCUAUCAGCUAGUUGGUGAGGUAACGGCUCGCCAAGGCGACGACGGGUAACCGGCCUGAGAGGGUGACCGGUCACACUGGGACUGAGAUACGGCCCAGACUCCUACGGGAGGCAGCAGUGGGGAAUAUUGCACAAUGGGCGCAAGCCUGAUGCAGCAACGCCGCGUGAGGGAUGAAGGCCUUCGGGUUGUAAACCUCUUUUAGCAGGGAAGAAGCGAAAGUGACGGUACCUGCAGAAAAAGCACCGGCUAACUACGUGCCAGCAGCCGCGGUAAUACGUAGGGUGCAAGCGUUGUCCGGAAUUAUUGGGCGUAAAGAGCUCGUAGGCGGUUUGUCACGUCUGCUGUGAAAAUCCAAGGCUCAACCUUGGACUUGCAGUGGGUACGGGC